rnacentral:rRNA from 1 species
AGCUCCAAUAGCGUAUAUUAAAGUUGUUGCGGUUAAAAAGCUCGUAGUUGGAUUUCUGUUGAGGGCGACCGGUACGCAUUUCGUGCGUUAUCUGGUUCGGUCUUGGCAUCCUCUUGGGGAACGAUUCCAUGCUUAAUUGCACGGAUCGGGAUUCAAGACUUUUACUUUGAGGAAAUUAGAGUGUUCACGGCAAGCAAGUGCUUUGAAUACAUUAGCAUGGAAUAAUAAUAUAGGACCUUUGUUCUAUUUUGUUGGUUUCUAGAACUAAGGUAAUGAUUAAUAGGGACAAUUGGGGGCAUUCGUAUUAACGCGUCAGAGGUGGAAUUCUUGGAUUGCGUUACGACGAACUACUGCGAAAGCAUUUGCCAAGGAUGUUUUCA